rnacentral:rRNA from 1 species
CAGCCGUAAACUAUGCUCGCUAGGUGUCAGGGACGGUGCGACCGUUUCUGGUGCCGCAGGGAAGCCGUGAAGCGAGCCACCUGGGAAGUACGGUCGCAAGGCUGAAACUUAAAGGAAUUGGCGGGGGGAGCACCACAACGGGUGGAGCCUGCGGUUUAAUUGGACUCAACGCCGGGAAGCUCACCGGAUAAGACAGCGGAAUGAUUGCCGGGCUGAAGACCCUGCAUGACCAGCUGAGAGGAGGUGCAUGGCGUAGUCGUGU